UUGGUUUUAAAUUUUUUUUAAUUUGCGAUUUUCUAAAGAAAGACUUCUAAAGAAUGAAUUAAAGGAAAAAAAUUUUAUUUGGAUUUUUGAAAAUUGGGGUCUCAAAGAAAGACUUUUCUAAAGAAGGAAGUAAAGGAAAAUAUUUUUGGAUUUUUGAAAAUUGGGGGCCGAAACCGAUGAGGUUUGCCUACGUAUCUCACAUCCGGUGAGAAUCAGACUCGCGUAGUUCGGUCAAUUUGGCGGAACAGAGAAAACAUUUUUUUUUUAAAACAUUGGCUUAUUUUUUCUUCUUUUUUUUUCAAAAAUUUGGCAAAGUUUCAAAGCAUUUUCAAAUAUCGGGGUUUUCAGAAUUGGGUGAAUUUUCUAUCCUACCUCUCUUGGUUUUCUGUCGUUUUUAUUUUCUUAACCGGUCAACAAACAAGCCGAAACAAAUAAAUGCACACGUAGCAGGUAAGAUGCAUCAGGAUGGUCUUUUGUUUCGGGUAAACAUGUCCUAGACGGACCCAACCCAUGUGUUGAGUUCCCUAAGUCAAAAGCACGUGAUACAAACAAGCGCUCCUACUAGGGAUCUGGCAUGAGGUUUUGCAAUUCUAGGUUUAAACAUGAGGAUGUGUUCUAGAUAUGGCUUACCCAAGCGGACAACUUGAGCCGAGGUGGGAGCGACGUACCGGGAGCACGAAAGUCUACUCGUCCUAGUGGCUGAUCCAUCCUCGUUCUAUUUGGUACGACCUCUAACAGAAAAGCGGGCCACGCGUACGUGUGCACCAUAUUUUUAGAAGACUCGGAAGGGAGGCGUAAGAAGGCAGUUUAAUACAAUUCAAAUAAUAUUAAAGCGGUAAUGAGCGGCAAUUAGCACAUUACGCUCACAAACACAGUAAUUUCAACAUACAAUAAAGCCAAGUACAUAUUAAAUUACAAGCUCGAAUUCUGAACCCUGAACCAAAUAUUCUGGGUUCUUUCCCCAGCAGAGUCGCCAGAGCGGUCAUACCUCCUUUUUCCCGAAAAGGGGCAUAAGGGAUAAAGGAGUUUUUUCAAUUUAAGUGACAAUUUUUAUUUAUUCAGAGUCGCCACUUGGGAUAAUUUAUGGUGUCCCAAGUCACCGGCUUAUUUAAAAUCCCAAAUCAAGGAAAAUUGACUCUGUUUAAAAGUCUGCGAAACCAAACGACCGGGUAAGGAAUUAUGUUAACCAGGGAGAAGGUGUUAGACAUUCCCAAGUUUUGUGGUUUUAAUUGCUUGAUUAUUCGUAAUUAUGGAAUUAUCUUGAAACUGGUCAUGCGUACCUGACUCUAAAUUUGAUUCCAAAAGAGGGUGGUCAAAGAAAAUAACACCAGCUCAGAAGGGGUAACGAAUGGUGUAAAGUGUUUAGGUAGCAGAAAAAGGGCCUCCUAGCCUCGAGAAUGCCAAUUAUAGUAUCCUUUCAUGAUCACAACAUUGAUGAGCAUGUGUGUCUUCUUGGUGUGUCGUGGUCGAAAGACACUUCCCAUCCAUUAAAUGUCAAGCUUUUGACCAAGCUUCAAUUGAUUAAACAUCUUUAAACCCGAUCUUCACGAUGAUUUGAAGGUUAAUUUACUCGACCUUAAUUCCAAAGUAUUUCAACUCUUUAUUCAUCCUCAAAAGUGUCUUGUUCUCAGUCAUCCAAUUCAAACUUAAAUCAAUUUUCUAAGAUCUGGCCAAAAAUUCCGCAUGCAUGUCAUAUCACUAAAACUAGCGGGAAAGAACUAAGCAUGGAAUGACACAAAAGGACAAACUGUAUUUCAUUGAGUAAACAACAAGACAAAAAAACUAAAAUCUGAGUUACAACCGUAAAAUAACCCGGAUAAUAAAAAUAGCAAUAAAACAGACAGACAAGACUGACACAAACAGAAUAGAGGGAUAGAAGGGUUUGACUAAUUAAAACAAAUAAAAUCUGGAUCACAACCCUGAAAUAACCCAGAUAAUAGAAAAAACAUCAAAGCAAGCUACCAAGAUUCCUUCCUAGUGGGGAGGGAAGGACUUUCCAAUUGCUAAGCUUGACAUUUAGCCACAAAGUUGCUCAUCAGAAUAAUUAUGGCCUUCUUCAAUUUCAGUCGGCAAGUUCCGGAGAGGAUUCUCAUACUCCAUGUUACCACGCAUCAUCCCCACAAAGUGUGCAUUAUCAUGUGCAUGUAAAGGAUUCUGCGUGAUAUUCUGGGUAUCACUGUCUUGGAUCACAAUAAGUUUUUCAUGGAUCAUCAUUUCUAUUUCUCUUUUCAAAUCCCGACAGCUUUCAACAUUGUGCCCCUGGGCAUUGGAAUGGCAUUCACACCUUUUAGAAGGGUCAAAGCUUCUUGCACGUGGGUCCACAUGAUUUGGAGGGAUAGUUGCAAUCAUGUCAUAAUUUAAUUUCUCAAACAAGCUUGCAUAUGACUCUCCUAUUGGUGUAAAAUUAUCUUUCAACCUUUGCUCCCCUCUAUACCCCUGGCUUGGAUGUGGGUUAUAGGGCACUUGAAAAUUUUGUGGAGGCUGGUGGAAAUUUUGCGGUGCUGGUGCUCGCCUUCCGAGGUGUCUUGGUGGCUGGACAACAUACUAAGGUAGACCAACAAAAUAUUGUGGGUUUUGAGGUGGAUAGUAGUGCUCAGGGGAGUCAUGGGAAACCUGAUGAAGCUGCCCAUACCUUCGAGAUCUUCUCCUAGGACCUCUUCUCAACCCUGAUGUCAUCAUGGUUUCUUCAUCCUUCUCAUUCGUGUCACUAAAAUUAACAGAUUCAAUUUGGACAGCUUGAGUUGCGGCUUUAAUAACUGCUUGACUUAUAAUUUUGCUUGUCUUAAGACCAUUCUCAACCAUUUCCCCCAUUUUGAUUGCUUUCGAGAAGGACUUGCCAACUGCGGAUAUCAUGUUUUGAAAAUAAUCUAGCUCUUGAGCCUGAAGGAAGACAGUGAUUAGCUCGUGGUCAUCUAUGGGUAGCUUAACUCUAGUCGCUUGCUCUCUCCAUUUAAUGGCAUAUUCCCUGAAACUUUCAGUUGGUUUCUUCUUUAUGUUUGAAAGGGAAUUGCGGUCUGGGGCGAUGCAGAUAUUGUAUUGGAAUUGUUUUCCAAAGGCCCGGGCCAUGUCAUCCCAGACGUACCAGCGAGAUGUGUCUUGAUCCAUAAGCCAUUCGGAGGCUACUCCCGUAAGGCUUUCCCCAAAAUAAGCCAUUAGCAAUUCUUCAUUUCUUCCUACACCUCUUAGCUGAUUGCAAUACCUUUUCAGGUGGGCUAUGGAGUAUCCAUGUCCAUCAUAUUUUUAAAAUUUGGGAGUCUUGAAACCAAGUGGUAAACAAACAUCGGGGAACAUACAUAGAUCCUUGAAGGCAAUUCUUUUCUGACCUGCCAACCCUUGCAUGUUUUUCAACUGUCGUUCUAAGCUAUUCACUCUUUGGGUCAUUUCUUCAUGUGUCGUCUUUCAGGCAGGCUUUUCAAUCUUUGCAGGAAGAUCAAACAGGUACGAGUGGUACUUAGGAGAGUGGUAAUGUUCUUGGUGGGUAGCAAAUUGUGACUCGUGAGUGUUCCUUUGCACCACCGUCGGCUGUGGGAUGGUGAAGACGGGCAUAACAGUAGUGGUUGUCUGAUUGGUUGUCAAUGGAACACUUUGGGAGCACGCAACAGAAGUUCCAGCUGUAGUCGUACAGUUGGGAUAAGGACUGAACCCAAGUGGAUAGGAUUGAUCAGGCAAUGAAACCGGAAUGGCAGUAGUCGAGAUGGGUGUGAACUCUGGGAAACCAUGAGAAGAAAAGGGCAGUCCUUGGCCGUUGGCCCAUGCUUGACACAUUUCAAUCAUUUUCUGUUUCAAUACUCUAUUUUCCUCAACCAUGGUAGACACUUGUUGAACCCUCUGACCCUGAGUCUUAUGACCGCUCGUAACAGCUUUGAUGUCAGUUGUCAUUUUUCCCUUGAAUUUUGUGUUGUCGGCUUACCACAAACCGACCACCUCAAACGUUUUUCACAAUUCAAAACAAAAGACACGUUAGAAUGGACUCAGUCGGUCCUUAUUAUUAUCAUUUUUCUUCUUCUUUUUUUCACCUCUUUUUUUUUCUUUUUGAAAUCAUUCAAUCGAACGUGAUGUGGGUUGCCUACGUAUCAUGUGAGAACAUGAAUCAGAUCUUGUGUAGUUCGGAAAAUAGAGAAUAAAGUAAAUAACAUAACUCUUUUUUUUGGAUUUUGAAUUUUUUUUAACUUCCGAAAGAAAGACUUAAAAAGAAGAAAGAAAAUAUUUUUUGAUUUAGAUUUUUUUUUUUUUGAGAAUUUUUGAAAAGAAUGACUUCUAAAGAAGAAAGAAAAUAUAUUUUAUUUUUGAAUUUCGCAUUUUUUUUUGGAAUUUCGAAAGAAAAACUUCUAAAGAAGAAAAGAAAUAUUUUUGGAUUUUUGAACUUUUGUUUUGAAUUUAUGAAAGAAAUACCUCUAAAGAAAAUAUUUUUAAAUCUUGAAUUUUCUUUUCAAUUUUCGAAAGAAGAAUGAAAAUAUUUUUGGAUUUUUGAUUUUGGUUUUUUUUUUCAAUUUUGUAUUUCGAAAGUUUUGAAAGAAAGACUAUUAAAGAAGAAAGAAAAUAUUUUUUGUAUUUUGUUUUUUUGUUUUUGAAUUUCUGGGAAAAAGACUUCUAAAAAAAGAUAGAAAAUAUUUUUUUGGAUUUUGAUUUGAUUUUCUUUUCGAAUGAAAAACUUCUAAAAUGAAAGAAAAUAUUUUUGGUUUUAAAAGUUUUUUAAUUUGCGAUUUUUUAAAGAAGAAAUUAAAGGAAUUUUGUUUUUUUGAAUUUUUGAAAAUUGGAGUCUCAAAGAAAGACUUUUCUAAAGAAGGAAGUAAAGGAAAAUAUUUAUGAAUUUUUGAAAAUUGGGGGCCGAAACCGAUGAGGUUUGCCUACGUAUCUCACAUCCGGAGAGAAUUAGACCCGCGUAGUUCGGUCAAUUUGGCGGAACAGUAAACAUGUUUUUUUUAAAAACAUUGGCUUUUUUUCUCUCCUUUUUUUCAAAAAAUUGGCAGAGUUUCAAGGCAUUUUCAAAUAUCGGGGUUUUCAAAAUCGGGUGAAUUUUCUAUCCUACCUCACUCUUGAUUUUUCUGUUGUUUUUAUUUUCUUAAACGGUCAACAAACAAGCCGAAGCAAAUAAAUGCACACGUAGCAGGUAAGAUGCAUUAGGAUGGUCUUUUGUUUCGGGUACACCUGUCCUAGACGGACCCAACCCCUGUGUUGAGUCCCCUAAGUCAAAUGCACGCGAUGCAAACAAGCGCUCCUACUAGGGUUCCGGCAUGAGGUUUUGUUAUUCAAGGUUUGAACCUGGGGAUGUGUUCUAGACAUGGCUUACGCAAGAGGACAACUUGAGCCGAGGUGAGAGCGACGUACCGAGAGCACGAAAAUCUACUCGGCCUAGUGGUUAAUCCAUCCGCGUUCUAUUUGGUACGCCCUCUAACAGAAAAGCGGGCUACGCGUACGUGUGCACCAUAUUUUUAGAAGACUCACAAGGGAGGCGUAAGAAGACAGUUUAAUGCAAUCCAAAUAAUAUUAAAGCGGUAAUGAGCAGCAAUUAGCACAUUAGGCUCACAAACACAAUAAUUUCAACAUACAACAAAGCCAAGUACAGAUUAAAUUACAAGCUCGAAUUCUGAACCCUGAACCAUAAAUUCCCCAGCAGAGUCGGCAGAGCGGUAACACCUCUUUUUCCCCGAAAAGGGGCAUAGGGAAUAAGGGAGUUUUUUCAAUUUAAGUGACAUUAUUUGAAUUGGGAUUAUUUUUAUUUAUUCAGAGUCGCCACUUGGGAUAAUUUAUGGUGUCCCAAGUCACCGGUUUAUUUAAAAUCCCAAAUCGAGGAAAAUUGACUCUGUUUAAAAGUCUGCGAAACCAGAAGACCGGGUAAGGAAUUCUAUUAAGACGGGAGAAGAUGUUAGGCAUUCCCGAGUUUCGUGGUUUUAGCACGGUCGCUUUCAAUCAUAUCUGGCUUAAUUAAAUAAUUUAAUUACUCAUUUUAGAAUUUAUGUGUGUUUUACGUUUUACCGCUUUUAAUUGCUUGAUUAUUCGUAAUUAUGGAAUUAUCUUGAAACGAGUUACGCGUACGUGUACUCAUUUUAUUUAGUGCGCUAAAAAUCAUGUCACGCAUACGUAUACAUAAUUAAUAGCACUUAAUUAAUAUUAAAAUUAUUUGGCCAAAGUCACGCGAACGUGUACCUUGGUUUUAUUUUGAAAAUCGAUGCUUAAAUCAUGUCACGCGUACGUGUACAUAAUUUAUCACGCUUAAUUAUUUAAGAAAAACUUGGCCAAAGUCGCGCGAACGCGUACCUUGAUUUAUUUUGAAAAAAUUAUAAUUAUGUCACACGAACGUGUACACAAUCACAAUGAUAGAUUAAGUCACGCCUAAAGCAUUUUCUACAAAUAUUCAUUUUUUAAAAAACGUACUCGUGUCACGCGAACGUCGAAAAUCCUAAAGAUUGCCUAUCCGGGUGAGAUCGGCUUAAGCAUACUCCUAGCUAGAGCAAUAAAAUAAAAUAGUGAAUACGUAGUUCUCAAAUUUCAAUUAUGUUUCUUUAAAAUCCCAACGCCACGUCACAUUUCAAUCUUCAAUAAACAUAUGUUGCAUCUAAAACAUUAGAAACCAACCAGACACGACGUGAAGGAAAGAAAAUUAACAAACAAACAAAAUAAGGGAGAGUAAAUCAAAAAUAUGGUAAGAGCUAUUUAAGUAUUCUACUAAUUCCUCUUCUGCCAACUAAGGACACUCAUAUUGCUCACUUAACUCGCACAAUCACAGUCUUUACACAUCAGAUGCUUAGCUAGAUGAAUAACCUUCACAAAAACUCAUUAUAUUCUCUAAAUUUCUCCAAAACAGUGACUUCCUUUUAAAAUUUAAAAUUUCAAGAAUGAAAUAAGGGACUAUGGUAAAGCAUGAGAAACAGAAACUAAACCAACUUUCAAAUCUGAAGACAAUACCUCUACAAUAUCCACGGGCUACUCAAUAUAGCAAAGAUAAUUCCUACGAACGCAUCUAAAUUAAAAUAUCACGAAAAGAUUCAACAAAUCUCAAACAAGAAAUCAACCAUUGAACCAAAGGCUAAUACCAUUCUCCAAAUCAUAUUGAAAAUCAAUGCUAAAAUAGAAGUAAGAGGGGGAAGAAUGAACCUGUUAGAGCCAAAGGAUUUAAUAACGGCAGAAGAGAUAGCAAUUCCAAAGUUCGACUCCAAAAAUUUGUUUGAGAAGCAAUAGUACAAACGAGUAGGAACCGCGAGCCAAAUUGAAACCGCGAACCCCGGACGGGAUAUCGAAUCUGCACCGGAAUUUUGAACCCAAACCCGAACUCAAACACGAACUUCAAACAAAUUCCAUCUUCAAAACGAAAAUUGAAACGUGAAGAAGGCAGAAUAUUUCUCCUUUUUUUUUUUGGAAAUUCGCAGCUUAAUUAUCAAAAAUCAGAAACAUUUUUGACGGAUGGAGGUUGCUGGAUUUCCUAUUUCUAUAUGUAUGUGUAGCUUUUCAAUUUUGAGAGAAAGAAUUUUGAUAAAAUCUAAAGGGGGAGGCGUUAGGUUGUAGAAAAAUGAGAGAUCCAGAAAUCAAGAAGGACUGUCGAUCUUCUUCUCUUAGGGUUCGCGGCUCCUCCUUUCUUCUUUUUGAUUUUGAGAACAACCAGGAAAGGGGGGAGGAAGGCGUUAGAUUCUUUGGAAAAAGGGGAAGGUGCUGCCGUUUUUUGUGAAGAAGAAAG
rnacentral:lncRNA from 1 species